GGGUCCACAACUAGAAAAGUCAUUUCUUUUUUGUUUCCUCAAAUUGCCUUGGAGUUUUAAUUGGAUUUGGGAUGAUCUUUGGUUUUCACUGAAUAAGGAUAAGGCAUUCCUUCCCGAGGAUGACAAGGACUAUCAUUUUCUACUCGAUGUUGAGGUGCUGGAGUUGCAGCAGCUGGUAAUUGAGUAGACAUUAUAUGAUGCUGACAUAAGUCCGAUGUUGCCUUCGGGUAUAGCUAAUUUCUUUUGACUUAUAUUUUAUUUUGCAUUAUGUUGUCAACUUUCAUACUAAUUUUCUCUAUUCGUUUUGUAGUGAUAAGACCUACAUUGGAGUCCAUUAAGUUGGCCUUAAAGAAGAGGUGUCGGGC
rnacentral:lncRNA from 1 species